rnacentral:rRNA from 1 species
AGUGAACGCUGGCGGUAGGCCUAACACAUGCAAGUCGAACGGCAGCACAGUAAGAGCUUGCUCUUACGGGUGGCGAGUGGCGGACGGGUGAGGAAUACAUCGGAAUCUACUUUUUCGUGGGGGAUAACGUAGGGAAACUUACGCUAAUACCGCAUACGACCUACGGGUGAAAGCAGGGGAUCUUCGGACCUUGCGCGAUUGAAUGAGCCGAUGUCGGAUUAGCUAGUUGGCGGGGUAAAGGCCCACCAAGGCGACGAUCCGUAGCUGGUCUGAGAGGAUGAACAGCCACACUGGAAAUGGAGCACGGUCCCAACUCCUUCGGGAGGCAGCAGUGGGGAAUAUUGGACAAUGGGCGCAAGCCUGAUCCAGCCAUACCGCGUGGGUGAAGAAGGCCUUCGGGUUGUAAAGCCCUUUUGUUGGGAAAGAAAAGCAGCAGGUUAAUACCCCGCUGUUCUGACGGUACCCAAAGAAUAAGCACCGGCUAACUUCGUG